rnacentral:rRNA from 1 species
UUCAACUUGAGAGUUUGAUCCUGGCUCAGAACGAACGCUGGCGGCAGGCCUAACACAUGCAAGUCGAGCGAAGCCUUCGGGUUUAGCGGCGGACGGGGGAGUAACGCGUGGGAAUAUGCCCUUUGGUACGGAACAGUCCCGGGAAACUGGGUUUAAUACCGUAUGUGGUCCUUCGUAGUGGAUACGGGGGACGAAAGAUUUAUCGCCAAAGGAUUAGCCCGCGUUGGAUUAGGUAGUUGGUGGGGUAACGGCCUACCAAGCCGACGAUCCAUAGCUGGUUUGAGAGGAUGAUCAGCCACACUGGGACUGAGACACGGCCCAGACUCCUACGGGAGGCAGCAGUGGGGAAUCU